GAUGAACGCUAGCGGCAGGCCUAACACAUGCAAGUCGAGGGGCAGCACGUUAAAGAGUUUACUCUUUAUGGUGGCGACCGGCGGACGGGUGCGUAACGCGUAUGCAACCUGCCUGACACAGGGGGAUAAUCCGAAGAAAUUUGGUCUAAUACCCCAUAAUACCGAUAUAGGCAUCUAUGUUGGUUGAAAGCUUUGGUGGUGUCAGAUGGGCAUGCGUUGUAUUAGCUAGUUGGUGAGGUAACGGCUCACCAAGGCGACGAUACAUAGGGGGACUGAGAGGUUAACCCCCCACACUGGUACUGAGACACGGACCAGACUCCUACGGGAGGCAGCAGUGAGGAAUAUUGGUCAAUGGGCGGAAGCCUGAACCAGCCAUGCCGCGUGCAGGAAGACGGCUCUAUGAGUUGUAAACUGCUUUUGUACUAGGGUAAUUUGCGGUACGUGUACCGUAUUGAAAGUAUAGUACGAAUAAGGAUCGGCUAACUCCGUG
rnacentral:rRNA from 1 species